rnacentral:rRNA from 1 species
AGAGUUUGAUCCUGGCUCAGGACGAACGCUGGCGGCGUGCUUAACACAUGCAAGUCGAGCGGAGAGGCCCUUCGGGGUACUCGAGCGGCGAACGGGUGAGUAACACGUGAGUAAUCUGCCCCUAGCUCUGGGAUAGCUCCGGGAAACCGGGAUUAAUACCAGAUACGACCACUUUAGACAUCUGCUGUGGUGGAAAGAAUUUCGGCUAGGGAUGAGCUCGCGGCCUAUCAGCUUGUUGGUGGGGUAACGGCCUACCAAGGCGACGACGGGUAGCCGGCCUGAGAGGGCGACCGGCCACACUGGGACUGAGACACGGCCCAGACUCCUACGGGAGGCAGCAGUGGGGAAUAUUGCGCAAUGGGCGAAAGCCUGACGCAGCGACGCCGCGUGGGGGAUGAAGGCCUUCGGGUUGUAAACCCCUUUCAGCAGGGACGAAGCGAAAGUGACGGUACCUGCAGAAGAAGCGCCGGCUAACUACGUGCCAGCAGCCGCGGUAACACGUAGGGCGCAAGCGUUGUCCGGAAUUAUUGGGCGUAAAGAGCUCGUAGGCGGUCUGUUGCGUCCGCUGUG